rnacentral:misc_RNA from 1 species
GCAAAACAAAGAAAUGCAGAACAAACUGUAUGAUCCAAACCCAGGAAAAAGCCUAGAUAUUGUGGAAAGUAGCAGUGCAUUUAAUCCACAACAAAAGAAUUCACAAAAAACAACAGAAUCAGACUUGAUUGAACAAGGCUUUUCAGAAAUCAAGGAUUUUAAUGAAAUGAAUGCUGCUACCAGAAAAGCUAAAAGUAGAAGAGUUGGAAAGGAGAUAAGAGAACAUGUUGAUUGGGAUGCCUUGAGAAAACAGACAGAAGCAAAUGGGAGGAAAAGACAAAGA